rnacentral:rRNA from 1 species
AUCGUUUGAUCCUUUCUCCUCUUUCACGCUGGCGGCAGGCCUAACACAUGCAAGUCGCCCGUUAACAGGAAGCAGCUUGCUGCUUUGCUGCCGAGUGGCGGACGGGUGAGUAAUGUCUGGGCAACUGCCCGAUGGAGGGGGAUAACUACUUGAAACUUUCUCUAAUACCGCAUAAUGUCGCAAGACCAAAGAGGGGGACCUUCGGGCCUCUUGCCAUCGGAUGUGCCCAGAUGGGAUUAGCUUGUUGGUGAGGUAACGGCUCACCAAGGCGACGAUCCCUAGCUGGUCUGAGAGGAGGACCAGCCACACUGGAACUGAGACACGGUCCAGACUCCGACGGGAGGCAGCAGUGGGGAAUAUUGCACAAUGGGCGCAAGAAUGAUGCAGCCAUGCCGCGUGUAUGAAGAAGGCCUUCGGGUUGUAAAGUACUUUCAGCGGGGAGGAAGGGGUUAAGGUUAAUAACCUUAGCCAUUGACGUUACCCGCAGAAGAAGCACCGGCUAACUCCGUGCCAGAAGAAGCGGGAAUAC